GUCCACCAGGCGACCUGCUCUUUUGCCUUUGCUCCCCACCACCACGAUCACAAAGAUGUUGCCCCAGAAUCCAGUGAAGAAUAUCAGGUUCAAUAAUAAAUCUCUGGAAAAUGACCUGCAGAAAAGCAUCUCAAUCAAGCCUCUUUCACACAAAGUACACAAGCAUGAUGGGAAAUAAAGAAAUGACCACUGAACCGGACUUGAAACAGACAGAGCUGCUUGAGUCAAAACACGUCUCAAUCAAUAGCGGCUUAUCUUGCCAUCUCAGAGCAUUUAGUAGGCACAAAGCCAAACCAGAAAGAGAGGAUGUGUGUUUUCUGUGAAGCCAUAUCCACACGCCAAGAAAGAAAGAAAAUAACAAGAGAUCAUCAUCCGCUUUCAGAUGUGGCACCAGAUAUCUGAUGAACUCUGUUACUUAUUACUAACUUGUAUCUCUUGUCCUUUUAUCUACUUAAAGUCUCCUUUUUCUGUAGUGUUACACAUAUUUUAAAAGUUUCUCAGGUAGUGGAAAACAAGAUUAUAAUUCAUCUACCAAAAUAGAAAAGUUAUAAACAUCAAAUGUCUGGGGAUACAAGGACUUUUUCAGCAGAGUCCAUUCGUUUCCAGCAGAGUUUAUUGGUCUGUUAUAUUGGUUACAAUAAUAUGAUUGAAAUCAAAAUAAACUCAUUGCUCACUAGUUAAUUCAUUCAUUCUGCUUUAUUUACUCCGAAACCAGUUUUGUCCUGUUGGAUCACACAUUUUUAUCCAAAUGUUUACAGUCUAUCAGUCAUUAUUUCACUCAUUCAUGGUACUAGCAACGCUUCCAGCUUCAUUACACUAUGCCCCUCAGCAUGAUGCUGCCUCCUCUUGAUAGCCUCUGGAUUUGGUUUUGUGCCUCCAUCAAGCUCAGCUUCGGCACAGAGACGGUGCAGCAACCAUCUCCAACUUCACCUCAAAUCCAGCUGAAAUGUGGACACAGCUGUUUGCUCCAAAAGCAACAAAGAUCCUAAACGCAGAUCCAAGAAACGACAAAGCAGCUAACAUCAACCUCCUUUAACAACCCAGAACACAAAGCAACAAAAAAACAACAAAAACAAUCAGGAAGCAUUUUAUGCCAGAAGCUUGUUGAUGGGAAAGACUGAGAUUUCUCUACAACUUAAGGAACAUUUAAGCAAAUAUUACAAAAUAUUAGAUUGUACAUAUUUGUUGUGUAAUGA